rnacentral:lncRNA from 1 species
GCGCCGCCGCGCCCCCUCUCGGUUUUUGCCUCCGAUGAGGCUCUUCCCGGCCUCCGUUUGAUGAAAUUUUUAUAUCACCGUGAUCACCAUUCUUUUCUCUACAGGUUGACCGGAGCCGAAUCACCAAAACACGAACCUCGCCGGAGAGCCGCCGCCGCUGGUAAGCUCCGUUUUUCCGUGAUUUUUUGGCCCCCCGAGGGCCAUAGGGUUGUUUUCUCACAGGGACCGAUGCGAGUGUGGCCGAAUUCGGCCGGAAA